GGACUAUGGAGCGUCAGGUGAGGGCUCG
rnacentral:piRNA from 1 species